rnacentral:rRNA from 1 species
UACGGAGGGUGCAAGCGUUACUCGGAAUCACUGGGCGUAAAGAGCGCGCAGGUGGUUAAUUAAGUCUGAUGUGAAAGCCCACGGCUUAACCGUGGAGGGUCAUUGGAAACUGGUUGACUUGAGUGCAGAAGAGGGAAGUGGAAUUCCAUGUGUAGCGGUGAAAUGCGUAGAGAUAUGGAGGAACACCAGUGGCGAAGGCGACUCACUGGACUGUAACUGACGCUGAGGCUCGAAAGCGUGGGGAGCAAACAGG